GAAUCUUGCACAAUGCACGAAAGUGUGAUGCAGCGACGCCGCGUGAAGGAUGAAGGCCCUUGGGUCGUAAACUUCUUUUAUGCGGGAAGAAAAAAAUGACGUUACCGCAUGAAUAAGCCACGGCUAACUACGUGCCAGCAGCCGCGGUAAUACGUAGGUGGCAAGCGUUGUCCGGAUUUACUGGGCGUAAAGAGUAUGUAGGCGGACAUUUAAGUAGAAAGUGAAAGGUUGGAGCUUAACUCCAACACUGCUUCCUAUACUGGGUGUCUUGAGUGCCGGAGAGGAAAGCGGAACGACACGUGUAGCGGUGAAAUGCGUUGAUAUGUGUCGGAACACCAAUGGCGAAGGCAGCUUUCUGGA
rnacentral:rRNA from 1 species